UCCGAACUCCUUCUUGCUCAUUUAUUCGGACUCUCCACCUGCUGCUUAAUCCUCAUGAUGGACGCUUCAUUUGCACUUUCACAAGUCAGUUGUCGUUUUGCACGGCGUGGUGGUGGUGCUGGUGUCUCUUAAAAAAGAGCAGAUGUACUCUGAUGAAAAUUCAUUGCAACCUGAGAAUUCCAGCUGCAUGAGGGGCUCGUGUUCCUUUUAAUGAGGUUUGGUUUUAGAGGGGGUUCUGUUCGGAGAAUGUUAAAACAAAAGUUUGAGUUUACAAAAAAAAAAAAAAGAAAGAAAGAAAAAACAGCCCACCUCAUUUAUCAUUACGAACUGCAGUCCCGAGCCACUGACUCCUGUAAAGCCUGAUGAACUUUAUGUGAAUGAAGUAAGACACCAUUUACGCAAGAGUCUGCCUGCUGAAUGGCACGAUUUGCAUAACAAUAAAGGCAAAGAGAUCUCGGCGAAGUCAAAUCUCACCACCCCUUCUCUCGUCUCCUCUGCAGCGGGGCGCCUGAGCUUUCUGCUGGCGACCGGGACGCUGAGAAAGUGUCAGUGCUGCCAAUCACCACUUGGUUAUGUCCGCGGACGCAAACGUACACAAUGUGGAGGUUCUUAACAAGUGAAAUGUAACGCGCAACCGGAGUCUGAACCAACGGGGAGUCCUUCUUGGAAUCCUGAAAUCAAUAUGAAUGGCCCCUGGCAGAGGCUGCUUUUUUGUUUCUUCCUUCGCCUGGUUUCUAGACUGUUCGGAGUAUCUGCCAUGUUGCCAGAAUUGGAAAGUUCUGAAUCAAAUG